UGGACGGCAGUCGCUGCGACUAUUCUUGAGAAAGGGGUCAGAUUUCCUCUUCAUCCAUUUCUGCUGACCAUUCUAGGGUUUGUCGGUGUCGGGUUCGCCCAAUUGGUGCCGAACUCUUAUAUACAUAUCCUAGCCUUCAUUGCAUUCUGCCAUGAAGGCGGAGUCGAACCUACUCUCGAUUUCUUUUUCACUGUGUACAAGAUCAGUCAGUCUCGUGAAAAGGGGUUCAAAGUUAUAGGUAAGCAGACGUCGAAG
rnacentral:lncRNA from 1 species